CUAGCUGAUAUCCGAUUUGAGUUAAAUGAAAUUUAACAUUUGAUCAUAUUUAGAAAAUGUAUUUCUGUUAAGAAAACAUUUAUUUCGUAACCCCCCCACCUCCUCCCUGCGCCUGCCGGCCCAGUCGCACACAUUCCGCAUGGUAAGCCUAUUUUAUUGGUACAGUCGGUUUCCGCCUCAUCUCUGUUGUAACACUUUGUAGAAAUCGGGUUCUGCUCACCAUUCCUGCCUCUGGUGGAUGCACAUGGUCAUGAAACUCGAAUACUCGAGUAUUUGGAUUUGCAUCUUCAGCAUCGAACACGUCGUCACUCUUGCUCUGCAGUUAUUUUGCUAGCACCUCCUCUGAAUGUUGUCACCCCUCGUUUGGUGCCGGUGAUACCUGAAGUGUGCAUACUCACUUAAAAAAAUCUUUGCUCGAAAAACGAGAGAAAAGCACCAAUAGUAAUGUUUGUCCAUUUUGAGACGCCAUAGCCAAAAUAGUCAGAAUUAAUCUAAGAUAACUCAAGAAAUCUUUCAUUCAUUGUAAAGUUUUUGCUGAGGAGAUCUUAGUCACACAAUUUUACAUCUAACUAAGAUGUUUGGUGCAGUAUUUCUCAAUGAAAACAUGUGCAUGAAAAUGAGUCGUCUUUGGUUGAAUGACAACAAAGACUUUAUUGAAGAAUCCCUACUCUUGACCAAUCACCAAUGAAGGGGCGUAGACUUCGACUACGGACUUCAGAUUGCCAAUUUGUGUGCCUGAACAGCCGAAAAAACUCCACAAAAAGUCAUCAUAAUAUAUGCAUGAACUCUUCCGAAUUGUUUUUGGCUUGUAAGAAUGGGAACGCCUUAAAUCGCUCUACAUACAAAACGAGGCAACAGUGAUACAAAAUGGGGCGGCGGUGUGCUUUAGGACCAUUCAGACGCCUCCGAGCAGUCCGAGAGUGCUCUCUCAAGAGCACCGUUGAUUUUCAAGGGCUGGUUCCACGCCUGGGGAUCACAGGAUACAAUUUCUUCCUGAAUGUAUUUAUCUCUGCAGCUGUGGAGCUGCUCACUGGUCUCAUCUUCAACUGCUGGUGGACAGGGUGGGAUGGAGACUCCUCAUGGCUGUCUCUAACUUCAUAUGAGUCGCCGCCUGCCUCAUAGUCCCCUUUGUUUCAGUAGGUGAGUAGAUACUGUGUGGCUGAUGAAAACCAUAGCGAUCAUUGGUCAGGCUGUUGCCAUUGGAAUUGAGACUGAACUUUGCCAACUCUAAGCUGUAUCCAACACCUCUCAGCAAAUAAUAAAAUGAAACUCAUUAAUGCUGCUUAAUUCUGUUUUCACAACCUGGAUUACAUACUGGUAGUAAUACAUGCAGUAACAUACAAUAAUAAGGUAUUAUACUACAUAUAUUGUGUAAACAUAUGAUAUGACGUAGUGUACUCUAUAUUGAGACUCAUAUUCAGUAACGUUUUUUUUUUUACACUGAGUAUACCAGACAUUAGGAACACCUUCCUAAUUUUGAGUUGCAUGAACACUAAAAGUUGUCGAAACUGCAUUCACCUGGUCAGUCUAUGUCAUGGAAAGAGCAGGUGUUCUUAAUGUUUUGUAUAUUCAGCUCAUAUUUCUGCAUUUCAGAACUGUCGGCUAAACUGCUUGAUAAUACUGUACCAUGUGUAUCUGUAGGUGUCAUGUCUGUGCUGUACAAUGGACUGACAAUUUGCCUGAGACCAUAGAAGACGUGGAGAACUUAAAUGGUUGUGUUAGUUUGUCUUGGUCGCUUAAUAUGCCCAUUCUGCAUUACCAGGAGAUACAAACAAAAAGGAAAAGACUUGAAAGGAAAAGACUCCAACAGAAAGGACUACAUCAUGUAAACUAUUUCAUAUAUUUGUGUAAAUUUCACACAGUAUUACACUAAUUUUUCUGUUACUCGGUGAGGCUUGGGAGGAAGAAAAGCAACAUGUAGAGUAGGAGGAAGAGAAUAACAAAAAAUAAACACUUGUCUUUCAAACACUGUUUAUAACAUCAUGAAAUAUUUGUUUCAAACCAUAAGAAUUGUGUUUAAUGCACACUAUUUUAUGAUGACAAUAAACAUUGAAAGUCAUUUUUUACAGUAAAACUUUCUGAAAAAUACUACUGAUGGGAUACAAAAGCAUUUUCAACAUCCAGACGACAAU
rnacentral:lncRNA from 1 species